rnacentral:rRNA from 1 species
AAAGACUGACGCUCAUGCACGAAAGCGUGGGGAUCAAACAGGAUUAGAUACCCUGGUAGUCCACGCUGUAAACGAUGAUCACUCGUUGUUGGCGAUAUACUGUCAGCGACUGAGGGAAACCAUUAAGUGAUCCACCUGGGGAGUACGGCGGCAACGUUGAAACUCAAAGGAAUUGACGGGGGCCCGCACAAGCGGAGGAGCAUGUGGUUUAAUUCGAUGAUACGCGAGGAACCUUACCUGGGCUUAAAUGCAGGACGACGUAUGCCGAAAGGCGUAUUUCCUUCGGGACGUCUUGCAAGGUGCUGCAUGGUUGUCGUCAGCUCGUGCCGUGAGGUGUCGGGUUAAGUCCCAUAACGAGCGCAACCCUUAUCAUUAGUUGCCAUCAGGUAAUGCUGGGAACUCUAAUGAAACUGCCUACGCAAGUAGUGAGGAAGGUGGGGAUGACGUCAAAUCAGCACGGCCCUUAUGUCCAGGGCGACACACGUGCUACAAUGGCCAGUACAGAGGGUUGCAAA